rnacentral:rRNA from 1 species
AUUGAACGCUGGCGGCAGGCCUAACACAUGCAAGUCGAGCGAGUGGCGGACGGGUGAGUAAUGUAUGGGGAUCUGCCCGAUAGAGGGGGAUAACUACUGGAAACGGUGGCUAAUACCGCAUACUAUCGGAUGAACCCAGAUGGGAUUAGCUAGUGGGUGGGGUAACGGCUCACCAAGGCGACGAUCCCUAGCUGGUCUGAGAGGAUGAUCAGCCACACGGGAAAUGAGACACGGCCCAGACUCCUACGGGAGGCAGCAGUGGGGAAUAUUGCACAAUGGGCGCAAGCCUGAUACAGCCAUGCCGCGUGUAUGAAGAAGGCCUUAGGGUUGUAAAGUACUUUCAGCGGGGAGGCGUUACCCGCAGAAGAAGCACCGGCUAACUCCGUGCCAGCAGCCGCGGUAAUAC